rnacentral:misc_RNA from 1 species
AACGCACAUUGCGCCCGCCAGCACUCUGGCGGGCAUGCCUGUCCGAGCGUCAUUUCCACCCUCAGGCCCCAGCGGCCUGGAGUUGGGGCUUCUGCGGUGUCUUACCACCGCAGGCCCCCAAGAGCAGCGGCGGACCCGCGGCGGCUUCGAGCGCAGUAAAUACCCUCGCUCGGGAGGCGGCGCGGGCCCUUCCGGCCGGCAAGACGCGAAAGCAACCACCCAAAGGUUGACCUCGGAUCAGGUAGGAAUACCCGCUGAACUUAA